GGUUGCGAUCAUACCAGCACUAAUGCACCGGAUCCCAUCAGAACUCCGCAGUUAAGCGUGCUUGGGCGAGAGUAGUACUAGGAUGGGUGACCCCCUGGGAAGUCCUCGUGAUGCAACCC
rnacentral:rRNA from 1 species